rnacentral:rRNA from 1 species
AUUGAACGCUGGCGGCAGGCCUAACACAUGCAAGUCGAGCGAGCGGCGGACGGGUGAGUAAUGUCUGGGAAACUGCCUGAUGGAGGGGGAUAACUACUGGAAACGGUAGCUAAUACCGCAUACCAUCAGAUGUGCCCAGAUGGGAUUGGCUAGUAGGUGGGGUAAUGGCUCACCUAGGCGACGAUCCCUAGCUGGUCUGAGAGGAUGACCCGCCAAACUGGAAUUGAGACAGGGGCCAGACUCUUACGGGAGGCAGCAGUGGGGAAUAUCGGACAAUGGGCGCAAGCCGGAUGAAGCCAUGCGGGGUAUGGGAAGAAGGCCUUCGGGUUGUAAAGCACUUUCAUCGGGGAGGCGUUACCCGAAGAAGAAGCACCGGCUAACUCCGUGCCAGCAGCCGCGGUAAUAC